rnacentral:rRNA from 1 species
CGAACGCUGGCGGCGUGCUUAACACAUGCAAAUCGAACGGAAAGGCCCUGCUUUUGUGGGGUGCUCGAGUGGCGAACGGGUGAGUAACACGUGAGUAACCUGCCCUUGACUUUGGGAUAACUUCAGGAAACUGGGGCUAAUACCGGAUAGGAGCUCCUGCUGCAUGGUGGGGGUUGGAAAGUUUCGGCGGUUGGGGAUGGACUCGCGGCUUAUCAGCUUGUUGGUGGGGUAGUGGCUUACCAAGGCUUUGACGGGUAGCCGGCCUGAGAGGGUGACCGGCCACAUUGGGACUGAGAUACGGCCCAGACCCCUACGGGAGGCAGCAGUGGGGAAUAUUGCACAAUGGGCGGAAGCCUGAUGCAGCAACGCCGCGUGCGGGAUGACGGCCUUCGGGUUGUAAACCGCUUUCGCCUGUGACGAAGCGUGAGUGACGGUAAUGGGUAAAGAAGCACCGGCUAACUACGUG